rnacentral:lncRNA from 10 species
CAAAUAUAUAGUUGUGAAAAAGAGCAGUGAACUGAGCAUCUAAAAUAUUUAGGCCCAGUAAUAUUAUGUAUAAAUGGCAGUGUAUAUGACAAGUACAGUCUGUUUUAUAGAUGGCAAAGUGGAGACUGUGACUUACUUUGGACUAGAAAGUCGUUACUUCGGCAUCUGUUUUACAGAUUAUACUUGUCAUACGCACUUCUCUGUUUUAUCAAAUCAAAGGCACUAUUCCAUUUAUUCUUUUUUUUUUUUUCUCAAGACUGUCUUGCUCUGUCACCUAGGCUGGAGUACAGUCGUGCAAUCUUGGCUCACUGCAACCUCUGUCUCCUGGGUUCAAGCAAUUCUCAGGCUUCAACCUCCCAGAUAGCUGGGAUUACAGCUGAACACGAUUGGAGGAAAAUGCACCUGUGCUCACUUGCCUAGAUCUAAAUUCAUUAAUACUCAACUGCAUUGAAAUCUUGGGAAUGCCAUUGACUCAGCCACCAGGCCCACCCACCUGAUGACCCAAGCACUAAGCCAUCCUGCCCAGGACUCCAGGAACAAACCUACUUCCAGACCACGCCAUAUGACCUGCCCAGAAUCUCUGGAUAGGCUGAUGCAUGAAGGGCGUUCCCUGCCGAAACAGUCUGUAAAGACUGGAAUAUAUGCCUAUUUCUUCAGAUGCACAGACACCAACGCAUGACCACAAGGAUCAUGAGCAAUAAAAAAAACCCCUGAAAUCUUAGAGAUGCCAAUCAAUUACAUAUUUCCCUUUCUCUUUACAGGCCAUACCUCUAACUCUUCUCUCUCAUCCUCUCUCUCGGAGAGUGACAUUGUUUCUUUUAUUUUGGAAAAGUAAAGGCAGUCAGAAGAGAGUAUCUCCAAGUUUCAUCCUAGUAUCUACCCACAGUUUUGUAACUGUGUUCAUAUACUGUGCAUUCACUCUGUUUCUAAUGGUUUCAUAAUUGAUACUCCUGAUGAAGACCACCUCUUCCACCUGUGUCCAAGAACCCAUUCUCUCUCAUCUUCUAAGAACACUGCUCCAGUUAUUUUCUCAUCUCUGUCUUAAAUCAUGAAAAUUUUCCUCUCCUGUACUACCUUUCUACCUCCAUUCCAUUUCUGUGUUCCCCUUUACAAUUAAAUUCUGUAAACAUUUGCCUAUACCAGCUGUUUGCAAUCCUCUUUCCAUUCCCUCCUACACCUAUACCAAUUAAAAUUUUACCCUCACUCUUCUACCAAAAUUUCUUUUAUAAACAACACCAAUAACAAUUACAUUAACAAAUCAGAAAAUGAAGAUUCCUCCAUUUUUAUCAAAGGACAUGGCAACACAGAACAUAAACAUGUAUAUUUGUAGAAAAAGUAAUGGUUUUUAGCCAAUAGGUACAGGUUUUUCCACAAUUCAUUUUUGGCAUGACCUGCUCUCAAUGGCAUUAAUAAUUCUUAUUGAUUAAUUAGCAUCAGUAAGUAGUAUUGAAUAUUUAAUUAUAAGAUUGGUGAAUUGACACAAAAACCUAGGAGCUGUAUUCCGUGGGUAUAGAUACAGAAUAAAUGUUCAAAGUGAAAUUAUUGAUAGUGGAGAGAAGAGAAUUAAUUUCAGGAAUCAUAAACAUAGCUGAAGGACAUUGUAACGGAUGCAUAUAAUUAAGGGUUUGGGAUGUACGCUUGUGAAACUACAUAAGUAAAUACUUUAUACAACAGUUUCGAAAUUAUUUUUUCCUAAAUAAUUAACACCAUCCCUCUUCUACUAAAAAUAAUACUACUGCAAAGUUAUAUAAUUAUCUAACAUUAAAUACAAUCUAAUAUAUUAUCUAACACGAAUUGGAAUCUGCUACUUUUAUGAAAACUGAUUGUGAUAGAUACUAAAAGGUUACUCACCUAUUUUUUUUUACUUCUCCCUCACUUCCUUUUCCCUUUAUUUCGUCUCUUUGUAACACAAAUAUACACACACUACCACUAUCUCCAUUAAACAGUCGUACACACUCAGACACUUAACUAUAACAUACAUCUAUACUUGAUCAUAGAGUCUGCUGCCCUGAAACCAAAAAAAGUCCAAAAAAAGCAUAAGUAAAUAGAUCAGGAAAUUUGAAGCUUCCCUCAUAAAUGUUUUAUGUAAUGAGCCCACCUGUUGCAUCCUGUAAUCUUCAUAGCCUAUAUUCAAAGAGGUUCCUCCGUCACUCUAACCCACUCAUUCCAGUGAUCUCAACCUCUUUUCAUCAAGAGUUUUUCUCUACUAUCAUAAUAUCAUUUUUCUAUUUAGUCUAAGCCAAUUUGCUCUGCACAUUCCUUUGCACGUAUCUUAGUAUAAAUAUAAUUUUUGUGUCAAAAGAGUUAUCCAAAUAUCAUAGAUCAGAUGUAUUUAUUGUGUCCUUGAAUAAAGUUAUCAGAGAAAGUUCUGACUGCUCAAAACCUAUUAUAAACACCCUUAUUGAAAACAACUUACAUGGAAUCUAAGCAAAUCUCAUGUCUUAUUAUGGACAGAAAAUGAACAGGCUAAAUCUUCUCAGUAAACCUUCCCAGUAGCAUCUUGAGCAUUAACACUUUGGGAUUUUCUCUCCAAGGACUUAUUCUCUUUAUAUUUCUCUUCCCCUGUGUAUCAGUUUAUUCCUUCUUUGAUGUGCUUAUGAGAUCACUACAUUGAUUUAAGUAAUAAUAAUAAAUUUUUGGCAGAGCCCUUCAUUAGUCAUAAGAAAAAAAGAGUGAUGAUAAUAUAAAAGAAAGAGAAGACACAGCUCCUAUCCUUGAGAAAUCUAACAUCUAAUGAAUCUGAAAAGUAAUAUCACUUAGAACAAUAUAAUGAAAACUAAAAAUGAUUAAUUAUAAACUGAGGUCUACAGAUAUUGAAAUGGAAAGAUUUAAGCAAAUUAUGAUCAAACAGGGAAGACUAAACAGUGGAGAUAAAUUUGGUUAACAUACUUUUAGGGAUUAGUGUUUAUAUAGAUUCUUGGAAGAGACAACUUUAUGUAUGGAGCCCAUUGAAAUAAUUAAAAACAUCUAACUAAAGUCAUUAUUUGUACUAUUAUGAUCAAUGUUCUUUCUUACUGUGAAUAAAGAAAUGGUAAAUUUCCUGAGCCCUAU